UACGAAAGGGGCUAGCGUUGUUCGGAAUUACUGGGCGUAAAGGGCGCGUAGGCUGUGCUGUAAGUCAGGCGUGAAAGCCCCGGGCUCAACCUGGGAAUUGCGCUUGAUACUGCGGCGCUGGAAGGUGGGAGAGGAUGGCGGAAUUCCCAGUGUAGAGGUGAAAUUCGUAGAUAUUGGGAAGAACACCGGUGGCGAAGGCGGCCAUCUGGCCCACAAUUGACGCUGAGGCGCGAAAGCGUGGGGAGCAAACAGGG
rnacentral:rRNA from 1 species